GUGGGGAAUCUUCCGCAAUGGACGAAAGUCUGACGGAGCAACGCCGCGUGAACGAUGACGGCCUUCGGGUUGUAAAGUUCUGUUAUACGGGACGAAUGGUACGACGGUCAAUACCCGUCGUAAGUGACGGUACCGUAAGAGAAAGCCACGGCUAACUACGUGCCAGCAGCCGCGGUAAUACGUAGGUGGCAAGCGUUGUCCGGAAUUAUUGGGCGUAAAGGGCGCGCAGGCGGCGUCGUAAGUCGGUCUUAAAAGUGCGGGGCUUAACCCCGUGAGGGGACCGAAACUGCGAUGCUAGAGUAUCGGAGAGGAAAGCGGAAUUCCUAGUGUAGCGGUGAAAUGCGUAGAUAUUAGGAGGAACACCAGUGGCGAAAGCGGCUUUCUGGACGACAACUGACGCUGAGGCGCGAAAGCCAGGGGAGCAAACGGGAUUAGAAACCCCGGUAGUCC
rnacentral:rRNA from 1 species